UACAGAGGUGGCAAGCGUUGUUCGGAAUUACUGGGCGUAAAGGGCGAGUAGGUGGCCAUCUAAGUCAGACGUGAAAUCCCCCGGCUUAACCUGGGAACUGCGUCUGAUACUGGACGCUUGAGUAUGGGAGAGGAACGUAGAAUUCCAGGUGUAGCGGUGAAAUGCGUAGAUAUCUGGAGGAAUACCGGUGGCGAAGGCGGCGUUCUGGACCAUUACUGACACUGAAUCGCGAAAGCUAGGGGAGCAAACCGGG
rnacentral:rRNA from 1 species